rnacentral:rRNA from 1 species
UGACCUCGGAUUAAGGAAGGAUACCCGGUGAACUUAAGCAUA